AUUGAACGCUGGCGGCAUGCCUUACACAUGCAAGUCGAACGGCAGCACGGAGCUUGCUCUGGUGGCGAGUGGCGAACGGGUGAGUAAUAUAUCGGAACGUACCCUAGAGUGGGGGAUAACGUAGCGAAAGUUACGCUAAUACCGCAUACGAUCUAAGGAUGAAAGUGGGGGAUCGCAAGACCUCAUGCUCGUGGAGCGGCCGAUAUCUGAUUAGCUAGUUGGUAGGGUAAAAGCCUACCAAGGCAUCGAUCAGUAGCUGGUCUGAGAGGACGACCAGCCACACUGGAACUGAGACACGGUCCAGACUCCUACGGGAGGCAGCAGUGGGGAAUUUUGGACAAUGGGCGAAAGCCUGAUCCAGCAAUGCCGCGUGAGUGAAGAAGGCCUCGGGUCGUAACUGCUUUAUAAGUGUAAGAAUAUGACGGUAGCUUAUGAAUAAGCACCGGCUAACUAACGUGCCAGCAGCCGCGGUAAACGUCGUA
rnacentral:rRNA from 1 species